GAUGACAUAAUGUAUUAGGUUCUACCAACUCGUUAUAUCGUCUUGAUUAAGCAAUGGCAGUUUUGGCUCGGCCUAACAACCUUUCAUAAAGUUUGACCUCAAAUCAGGUAGGACUACCCGCUGAACUUAAGCAUAUCAAUAAGCGGAGGAAAAGAAACCAACAGGGAUUGCCUUAGUAACGGCGAGUGAAGCGGCAAAAGCUCAAAUUUGAAAUCUAGUACUUUCAGUGCUCGAGUUGUAAUUUGAAGAUGGUAAUCCUAGCGCUGGCCCUUGUCUAUGUUCCUUGGAACAGGACGUCAUAGAGGGUGAGAAUCCCGUCUGAUGGGGUGUCCAGUGCAUUUGCAGGAUGCUAUCGAAGAGUCGAGUUGUUUGGGAAUGCAGCUCUAAGUGGGUGGUAAAUUCCAUCUAAAGCUAAAUAUUGGCGAGAGACCGAUAGCGAACAAGUACAGUGAUGGAAAGAUGAAAAGAACUUUGAAAAGAGAGUGAAAAAGUACGUGAAAUUGUUGAAAGGGAAGGGUAUUAGAUCAGACUUGGUGUUUUAUGAUUAUCUUCCCUUCUUGGGUUGUGCACUCGUAUUUCACUGGGCCAGCAUCGAUUCGGACGGUAAGAUAAUGACUUUGGAACGUGGCACCAUUCGUGGUGUGUUAUAGCCUUUGUUGAUAUUGCCUGUCUGGAUCGAGGACUGCGGCUUUUGCCUAGGAUGCUGGCGUAAUGAUCUAAUAUCGCCCGUCUUGAAACACGGACCAAGGAGUCUAACGUCUAUGCGAGUGUUUGGGUGUAAAACCCGUACGCGUAAUGAAAGUGAACGUAGGUGAGAGCCCUUAAGGGUGCAUCAUCGACCGAUCCUGAUGUCUUCGGAUGGAUUUGAGUAAGAGCAUAGCUGUUGGGACCCGAAAGAUGGUGAACUAUGCCUGAAUAGGGUGAAGCCAGAGGAAACUCUGGUGGAGGCUCGUAGCGGUUCUGACGUGCAAAUCGAUCGUCGAAUUUGGGUAUAGGGGCGAAAGACUAAUCGAA
rnacentral:rRNA from 1 species